UUCAACGGUGUGAGUCAGCGGCCUCCGGGGGCUCCCCCCGGGCGGUAGAGGUAACACUCUUACGCGCCACAUGUCUGAAUCCUUUUUUUACGAGCACCUUUCGUUCUCCUUCGGUGGGGCAACCUGCCGUUGGAACUUAUCAAAACCUUUUUUUGCAUCUAGCAUUACCUGUUCAGAUACAAACAAUCGUUACAACUUUCAACAAUGGAUCUCUUGGCUCUGGCAUCGAUGAAGAACGCAGCGAAAUGCGAUAAGUAGUGUGAAUUGCAGAAUUCAGUGAAUCAUCGAAUCUUUGAACGCACAUUGCGCCCCUUGGUAUUCCAUGGGGCAUGCCUGUUCGAGCGUCAUCUACACCCUCAAGCUCUGCUUGGUGUUGGGCGUCUGUCCCGCCUCUGCGCGUGGACUCGCCCCAAAUUCAUUGGCAGCGGUCUUUGCCUCCUCUCGCGCAGCACAUUGCGCUUCAGAGGGGUGUGGGCCGCGUCCACGAAGCAACAUUAUCGUCUUUGACCUCGGAUCAGGUAGGGAUACCCGCUGAACUUAAGCAUAUCAAUAAGCGGAGGAA
rnacentral:rRNA from 1 species